rnacentral:rRNA from 1 species
GAGUUUGAUCAUGGCUCAGAUUGAACGCUGGCGGCAUGCCUUACACAUGCAAGUCGAACGGCAGCAUGAUCUAGCUUGCUAGAUUGAUGGCGAGUGGCGAACGGGUGAGUAAUACAUCGGAACGUGCCCUGUAGUGGGGGAUAACUAGUCGAAAGAUUAGCUAAUACCGCAUACGACCUGAGGGUGAAAGUGGGGGACCGCAAGGCCUCAUGCUAUAGGAGCGGCCGAUGUCUGAUUAGCUAGUUGGUGGGGUAAAGGCCCACCAAGGCGACGAUCAGUAGCUGGUCUGAGAGGACGAUCAGCCACACUGGGACUGAGACACGGGCCCAGACUCCUACGGGAGGCAGCAGUGGGGAAUUUUGGACAAUGGGCGAAAGCCUGAUCCAGCAAUGCCGCGUGUGUGAGA